AUGUUGUCUGAACAACAAUUGUUUGUUGUCGCUUUAUUCUGUUGUGCCACUCACCUUCAAAUAAUGUGUUUAGACAAUAGUUAUUUUUUGUUGCUUUAAUCUGUUGUGCUUGAUUUCCGACACUUGUCCAAAAUUUCAAUGUUUUGAGUCCCUCCAUUUCGACUUCUACCCUCGUUGAAUUAAUCAGUCUCGUCAAUUUCUCAUUUUCAUUUUUCCUCUCUUCAUCGAGAGAAGCCGCUCUCAUCUUCACCUCUAAUCUCUCCGCGCAUCAGAUGGGGAGGGGGAGCCCAUCACCGUAAACCUCUCUCUGAUCCAAUCUCUCUGCGUCGAUUUGGACGGCCUCUGGUAUAGCAUAAAGUUCUUUAUGGGUUUGAUAUCUUUUACAAAAGCUAGAACUAAGCAAUGCCUAGAGCUUUUGGGAACCCAUUAAUCCCAAAAUAACAAAAACACAGAAUUGGGUGAUUUGGGUCCCUUUUGCAAUCAACAAUGCGCCGAUAAGAGAAGCGACACAAGUUCAAUUAGGCUAUCCAGUUCAAAAGAAAAACAGAAACCAAGGCGGAAAAAAUAAUACCAGGAGAAGCCAGGUGUCAUGAUGUACUCGAAACGGAUCAAAUUUCCUUUAGCGGAGGAGAAGAAUUAGAUCUCAGGUUUGUAUAUAUUCUUGUUCCGAGUAACUUUUGAUGCUUUGGGGGUAUGAUUGAGUAUUGAAUAAUGUAUAGUCCACAGGCUUGUGAUUUUCCUUUUUGAGAACAGGUAUGUAAUUUCUAUACAGAGUUUAAAUUUGGUAUGGGGUCAAGGAAUCCUAGACUGAAGCAGUACAAUUUUCUUUGGAGAUUUAUGCAGAGUACUAUGAUGAUUAUAUAUAGAGAAUUUUUACGCCUGUGUGCAUUUUAGAGAAUGGUGUAGUUUUCAUUGACAAGAUGGGUGAGUAACUGAGUAUGAACGCCUCUUGAUAUUAUCUAAUCUAAAGGUGAAGAAGCAUGUUGUUGAGGUAACUCAUGACUUAGAGCUGAGAAGUCAUUUACCCAGAGACAUUAGUUUC
rnacentral:lncRNA from 1 species